UGGCGGCGUGCCUUAUACAUGCAAGUCGAGCGUACGAUUCAAAAGCUUGCUUUUGGAUCGUUAGCGGCGGACGGGUGAGUAACACGUGGGCAACCUGCCCUGUAGACGGGGAUAACACCGAGAAAUCGGUGCUAAUACCGGAUAACACGGAAGACCGCAUGGUUUUUCGUUGAAAGGCGGCGCAAGCUGUCGCUACAGGAUGGGCCCGCGGCGCAUUAGCUAGUUGGUGAGGUAACGGCUCACCAAGGCGACGAUGCGUAGCCGACCUGAGAGGGUGAUCGGCCACACUGGGACUGAGACACGGCCCAGACUCCUACGGGAGGCAGCAGUAGGGAAUCUUCCGCAAUGGACGAAAGUCUGACGGAGCAACGCCGCGUGAGCGAAGAAGGCCUUCGGGUCGUAAAGCUCUGUUGUUAGGGAAGAACAAGUACCGCAGUCACUGGCGGUACCUUGACGGUACCUAACGAGAAAGCCACGGCUAACUACGUGCCAGCAGCCGCGGUAAUACGUAGGUGGCAAGCGUUGUCCGGAAUUAUUGGGCGUAAAGCGCGCGCAGGCGGUUCCUUAAGUCUGAUGUGAAAGCCCACGGCUCAACCGUGGAGGGUCAUUGGAAACUGGGGGACUUGAGUGCACAAGAGGAGAGCGGAAUUCCACGUGUAGCGGUGAAAUGCGUAGAGAUGUGGAGGAACACCAGUGGCGAAGGCGGCUCUCUGGUCUGUAACUGACGCUGAGGCGCGAAAGCGUGGG
rnacentral:rRNA from 1 species